UACAGAGGUCUCAAGCGUUGUUCGGAUUCAUUGGGCGUAAAGGGUGUGUAGGUGGCGCCGUAAGUCGGGUGUGAAAUUUCGGAGCUUAACUCCGAAACUGCAUUCGAUACUGCGGUGCUUGAGGACUGGAGAGGAGACUGGAAUUCAUGGUGUAGCAGUGAAAUGCGUAGAGAUCAUGAGGAAGACCAGUGGCGAAGGCGGGUCUCUGGGCCGAUAUUAACGCUGAGGAGCGAAAGCGUGGGGAGCGAACAGG
rnacentral:rRNA from 1 species